rnacentral:tRNA from 1 species
GCCCCUGUAGUUCAAUGGAUAGAACAACCCCGUCCUAAGGGGUAGAUGUAUGUUCGAUUCAUACCAGGGGCA